UACUGGACUGAUUUAAACAUUAAAAUCGCUCCUUUCUAAUCCUCUGCUGUACGUUCAAACCUGAGGCCUUAAAUAGAAACACACAAGUAUCUGUUUGAAGGAACUUCUGCAGAGUCCUGGUUCCAGAACAUGAUGAUAGAAUUAUAGACAAACUUUAACAAAAGCUGCCUGAGAGUUUACAGGUUUUUAUGUUGGAUUUCUUCAGUAAUUUAAUGAGAGUUAUCAGCAAUAAUCAAGUGUUCAUUUGAUGAACUUCAUUUACUAAAACAUCCAGAAUUGAAGCUCAUAUCUUUGGCAGCUGUAAAGUUUCUGCUCCUUCAAAGUUCACAACACAAUGAAUGAAUUCCUAAAACACUCUCAAUGCUGGAGAGCGUUUGUGAUGCUGAAGCAGUGACCAGUUUUUCUGUUUCUUCUCUGGAGAUGCACAAUGAGGGACGUCUGCAGAGACUGAGAAAGAGUCUCACCACAUCCUGACAUGAGGAAAAAGACUUUAUUGAAGACUACAAUGAGAAAAACUAUCAGACAGCAGACGGCUGCAUUCAAGUCUGUAGCUGCUGAAUUCAUGGAUGAAUCAUCUGGCACUAGAGAGGAAGACCAUCAAACAUCCAUGUCAGCUGAUGGAGGUCCAAGAGUCUCACCAAGCAAACAACCUACAGAGUGAAGACCUCGAAUCUGAUUGGACGGCCUCCUAUUCAGCCACAUGUGUGAACAAAUGCCUCUAAGUUGAUUUGUUUUCUAAAAUAAAUCUAGUUUGAGUCCUAAUCUA